rnacentral:rRNA from 1 species
UACGUAGGUGGCAAGCGUUGUCCGGAUUUACUGGGCGUAAAGAGCGCGCAGGCGGUCGUUCAAGUCGCGUGUGAAAGCCCCCGGCUCAACUGGGGAGGGUCACGCGAUACUGAUCGACUCGAAGGCAGGAGAGGGUAGUGGAAUUCCCGGUGUAGUGGUGAAAUGCGUAGAUAUCGGGAGGAACACCAGUGGCGAAGGCGACUACCUGGCCUGUUCUUGACGCUGAGGCGCGAAAGCUAGGGGAGCAACCGGGG